AGAAGUUAGGGGCUGCAGCGGCGCUGGCUUUAGGUGAACGACGUGAAAAUUACUUUUCCCACUGAAACACACCCAAGUAUAUGCCCAGCCUUCAUGAAAGUGAACAGAGAAACGAAGCGCCUUUAUGUGGGUGGCCUUAGCCAGGACAUUUCUGAGGCAGACCUACAAAAUCAGUUCAGCAGAUUUGGAGAAGUUUCGGAUGUGGAGAUCAUCACACGGAAAGAUGACCAAGGAAACCCACAGAAAGUUUUUGCAUAUAUCAACAUCAGUGUAGCAGAAGCGGACCUGAAAAAAUGUAUGUCUGUUUUAAAUAAAACAAAAUGGAAAGGUGGAACAUUACAAAUUCAACUAGCAAAAGAAAGCUUUCUGCACAGCAGCAGUUGCCAGCCUACUGUGUACAGGCACUAGAGCCCCAUGCUGAGCAGGUUGAGCACACAGUGCUGCUGCUUGGAGUAUCUGCGUGGAUAUGCCUGAGAAGCAUGGGUCUGAUGGUUAUUCUGGGACAUAAAGGAGACAGACCAGAGGCAAAGAGGCCAGUGAGGACUGCUCUGUGCAGUUGUCCAGGCCUGAAGAAGGUGGCGGUGAUUUGAAUCAGAAGAGGUGGCAUUCUCUUCAUUAGGAGGAUAUGGAUAAUCAAGACCUAACAAAUUGGGCUCCGAAAGAUACCUUCGUCAUGGGGAAGAGUGAAUGGAGAGAAGAUAAUAUAAAAUGCCAAACGUAUAUAAAUUGAAAGGGGAAAAUUGAGAGAACUUGCGAUCCAUGGUCUUGG
rnacentral:lncRNA from 10 species